UUUGUUGAAUUCUUAUUAUUUCCUGGUUUCCUUUUCACUAGUUCUCUCGCUGUCCAGCACCCUCACCGCUAGUUAGAACUUUCGCAGUGCUCACCUCUCACCAGGUUCCAAGGCUCUGAAGUCUUAUUUGCAUUCCCUUCUGCCACUUCUCACAAAAAGCCUAGGGGAAAAAAACCUUCCGUCAAGUAAAGAUCACCGUCGUUCCGCUUGUUGAUUGCUUGUUUUCAUCCAGCCAUUAGAUCAUCUCGGCGGCCAUUGCUGGUCACCUUCUCCCAGUCUGCUCGGAUCCUGGUUUCUCCUGCUGCUUGCUGCCAGCCACCGCUCCCUCACGGUCUGCAGGACACCCCAACUCUUUCAGCCGUCCCUCCAGGACUUCUGAGAGCUCUGAUGAGCUCCGCGAACACAGGAAAAGCGGCUUGCGUAGCGGAGAAGACCGCUUGCACCGCUGCUCUCUCCAACAGCUGGCCCCACCCGAUCAUAAACCCUUUAGAAGACAAAGUAACACUGGGGAAAAACACUGAAAUAUACAUGUCAGGCUUUUAUCAGGGAAAGCUUCUAAGUCUUUCAGUGAAAGUGUGAGAUCAACUGUUUACAUGACUGUGAUUUUAGUUAUUGGGAAGCUGAAAUGGACUUUGUUUCAAGUAAAUAUCUUUAAAACAGGAGUGAAAUAAAACCAGGAUGGGUAUGCUCUGUAAUUGUUAGUUUGAAAUUAAGGAAGUUGUAAAAUGGGUUCAAUGUUCUCAGUGUUUGUUUUGUGACCUUCAAGUUCUAAAGUUGACAUUGUUAAUUUGGGAGCAUGGGCAACCUUAACAUGAAUAUGUUUUCUUCCCCAGCAUGCUGAACUAUCUGUAUUUAAGUCUUGGUUCUCUCUGGUGGGUUUCCCAACCUUUCUUGAUCAGCGGAAGCAUGUGGAAUGUUGAGACCAUGCCAACAUCUGCCUUGGAUUGUGACUGUUCACAAAAUGCCUGCCUUGGCAACCUUAGCCAUUCAUCUACAAGAAGGCAAACUGAUGAAGAUGCUUUCUUGUGGAGAUAAAAGGCUGCUUUCCAACCAUUAUCUCCGACAAGAAAGAGCCUUGUCAAGUUGGUUGUCAAGUCUGCGAAAAACCCAGAGAUAAGAACUAAUUUACAAGAUUC
rnacentral:lncRNA from 1 species